GGUUAAGCGACUAAGCGUACACGGUGGAUGCCCUGGCAGUCAGAGGCGAUGAAGGACGUGCUAAUCUGCGAUAAGCGUCGGUGAGGUGAUAUGAACCGUUAUAACCGGCGAUUUCCGAAUGGGGAAACCCAGUGUGAUUCGUCACACUAUCAUUAACUGAAUCCAUAGGUUAAUGAGGCGAACCGGGGGAACUGAAACAUCUAAGUACCCCGAGGAAAAGAAAUCAACCGAGAUUCCCCCAGUAGCGGCGAGCGAACGGGGAGGAGCCCAGAGCCUGAAUCAGUGUGUGUGUUAGUGGAAGCGUCUGGAAAGGCGCGCGAUACAGGGUGACAGCCCCGUACACAAAAAUGCACAUAUUGUGAGCUCGAUGAGUAGGGCGGGACACGUGGUAUCCUGUCUGAAUAUGGGGGGACCAUCCUCCAAGGCUAAAUACUCCUGACUGACCGAUAGUGAACCAGUACCGUGAGGGAAAGGCGAAAAGAACCCCGGCGAGGGGAGUGAAAAAGAACCUGAAACCGUGUACGUACAAGCAGUGGGAGCCUCUUAAUGGGGUGACUGCGUACCUUUUGUAUAAUGGGUCAGCGACUUAUAUUCUGUAGCAAGGUUAACCGAAUAGGGGAGCCGAAGGGAAACCGAGUCUUAACUGGGCGUUAAGUUGCAGGGUAUAGACCCGAAACCCGGUGAUCUAGCCAUGGGCAGGUUGAAGGUUGGGUAACACUAACUGGAGGACCGAACCGACUAAUGUUGAAAAAUUAGCGGAUGACUUGUGGCUGGGGGUGAAAGGCCAAUCAAACCGGGAGAUAGCUGGUUCUCCCCGAAAGCUAUUUAGGUAGCGCCUCGUGAAUUCAUCUCCGGGGGUAGAGCACUGUUUCGGCAAGGGGGUCAUCCCGACUUACCAACCCGAUGCAAACUGCGAAUACCGGAGAAUGUUAUCACGGGAGACACACGGCGGGUGCUAACGUCCGUCGUGAAGAGGGAAACAACCCAGACCGCCAGCUAAGGUCCCAAAGUCAUGGUUAAGUGGGAAACGAUGUGGGAAGGCCCAGACAGCCAGGAUGUUGGCUUAGAAGCAGCCAUCAUUUAAAGAAAGCGUAAUAGCUCACUGGUCGAGUCGGCCUGCGCGGAAGAUGUAACGGGGCUAAACCAUGCACCGAAGCUGCGGCAGCGACACUAUGUGUUGUUGGGUAGGGGAGCGUUCUGUAAGCCUGUGAAGGUGGCCUGUGAGGGUUGCUGGAGGUAUCAGAAGUGCGAAUGCUGACAUAAGUAACGAUAAAGCGGGUGAAAAGCCCGCUCGCCGGAAGACCAAGGGUUCCUGUCCAACGUUAAUCGGGGCAGGGUGAGUCGACCCCUAAGGCGAGGCCGAAAGGCGUAGUCGAUGGGAAACAGGUUAAUAUUCCUGUACUUGGUGUUACUGCGAAGGGGGGACGGAGAAGGCUAUGUUGGCCGGGCGACGGUUGUCCCGGUUUAAGCGUGUAGGCUGGUUUUCCAGGCAAAUCCGGAAAACCAAGGCUGAGGCGUGAUGACGAGGCACUACGGUGCUGAAGCGACAAAUGCCCUGCUUCCAGGAAAAGCCUCUAAGCAUCAGGUAACAUCAAAUCGUACCCCAAACCGACACAGGUGGUCAGGUAGAGAAUACCAAGGCGCUUGAGAGAACUCGGGUGAAGGAACUAGGCAAAAUGGUGCCGUAACUUCGGGAGAAGGCACGCUGAUAUGUAGGUGAAGCGACUUGCUCGUGGAGCUGAAAUCAGUCGAAGAUACCAGCUGGCUGCAACUGUUUAUUAAAAACACAGCACUGUGCAAACACGAAAGUGGACGUAUACGGUGUGACGCCUGCCCGGUGCCGGAAGGUUAAUUGAUGGGGUUAGCGGUAACGCGAAGCUCUUGAUCGAAGCCCCGGUAAACGGCGGCCGUAACUAUAACGGUCCUAAGGUAGCGAAAUUCCUUGUCGGGUAAGUUCCGACCUGCACGAAUGGCGUAAUGAUGGCCAGGCUGUCUCCACCCGAGACUCAGUGAAAUUGAACUCGCUGUGAAGAUGCAGUGUACCCGCGGCAAGACGGAAAGACCCCGUGAACCUUUACUAUAGCUUGACACUGAACAUUGAGCCUUGAUGUGUAGGAUAGGUGGGAGGCUUUGAAGUGUGGACGCCAGUCUGCAUGGAGCCGACCUUGAAAUACCACCCUUUAAUGUUUGAUGUUCUAACGUUGGCCCGUAAUCCGGGUUGCGGACAGUGUCUGGUGGGUAGUUUGACUGGGGCGGUCUCCUCCUAAAGAGUAACGGAGGAGCACGAAGGUUGGCUAAUCCUGGUCGGACAUCAGGAGGUUAGUGCAAUGGCAUAAGCCAGCUUGACUGCGAGCGUGACGGCGCGAGCAGGUGCGAAAGCAGGUCAUAGUGAUCCGGUGGUUCUGAAUGGAAGGGCCAUCGCUCAACGGAUAAAAGGUACUCCGGGGAUAACAGGCUGAUACCGCCCAAGAGUUCAUAUCGACGGCGGUGUUUGGCACCUCGAUGUCGGCUCAUCACAUCCUGGGGCUGAAGUAGGUCCCAAGGGUAUGGCUGUUCGCCAUUUAAAGUGGUACGCGAGCUGGGUUUAGAACGUCGUGAGACAGUUCGGUCCCUAUCUGCCGUGGGCGCUGGAGAACUGAGGGGGGCUGCUCCUAGUACGAGAGGACCGGAGUGGACGCAUCACUGGUGUUCGGGUUGUCAUGCCAAUGGCACUGCCCGGUAGCUAAAUGCGGAAGAGAUAAGUGCUGAAAGCAUCUAAGCACGAAACUUGCCCCGAGAUGAGUUCUCCCUGACUCCUUGAGAGUCCUGAAGGAACGUUGAAGACGACGACGUUGAUAGGCCGGGUGUGUAAGCGCAGCGAUGCGUUGAGCUAACCGGUACUAAUGAACCGUGAGGCUUAACCUU
rnacentral:rRNA from 1 species